rnacentral:tRNA from 1 species
CGGCAUAUAGCUUAAUCGGCAAAGCGUAAAUGUUAGGGGUUCAAGUCCUCUUAUGCCGUA